rnacentral:rRNA from 1 species
UACGGGGGGGGGCAAGCGUUGUUCGGAAUUACUGGGCGUAAAGGGCUCGUAGGCGGCCAACUAAGUCAGACGUGAAAUCCCCAGGCUCAACUUGGGAACUGCGUCUGAUACUGGAUGGCUUGAAUUCGGGAGAGGGAUGCAGAAUUCCAGGUGUAGCGGUGAAAUGCGUAGAUAUCUGGAGGAAUACCGGUGGCGAAGGCGGCAUCCUGGACCGACAUUGACGCUGAUGAGCGAAAGCUAGGGGAGCA